UUUCUGCGCCUACCAUGCGCUGACCACGCGUGUAACGGGGAAUCAGGGUUCGAUUCCGGAGAGGGAGCCUGAGAAACGGCUACCACAUCCAAGGAAGGCA
rnacentral:rRNA from 1 species